AAUCCUCAAAUUCACAAAUUCGAUUUUUACUCCUCAACCACGAUAUUUCAAUCCAGUAUAUAUAUGUAUAUCUAAUCUUCUUCAUCGCAAUUACCCAGCAAAUCCAACAGGAAAAAGUCUUUUAUAAUUCAUCCUGUUUCCUUCCCACUGCCGAAUCUCCAUCGGUAAUUCUCAAAAACUUGUAUAGUUUAUUUUCAUAUGCAAAGAUCUCUGCUUUCUUUCAAUUUACAGAAAACAACCAAACUCCCACAAAAUUCUUGUUUUUAUAAAUCCAAACUUGCAUACAUAUCAUUAAAGCUAUCUUUUGUAUUUCAUAAGAAAAUUGAAAUAGAAUGCAUAUUCACUGAUUUUACAAUAAAGAAAAUUAGAUUUAGAAACCUAGAAUAAUGGGGGGAAUUAAAAUGAAAUGAGGUGAGGGAUUGCUCGCCGGAGCAACGACGCCGCUGCGUGUGCAGGGGUGGCGGCGUACGGCGAGAGGAAACAGGGGCAGCGGCACCGUGGUCUCUGCCGCUGCUGAGUAUUUCCGGUCAGGGCGGAGGGAGAAGCGUUUGGGCUGUGCUGCUGUCCGUCGCAGUGGCGGCCGUCUGGUGGCGCGGUGGUAGGAGGCCGAGAGGGAGAGAGAGGGGUAGAGAGAAGAGAGAGAGAGCGGCUGAGAGGGAAGAGGCGUGAGUUGUAUGUUUGUGAUGGGUGUAGAAGUCAAAGUAGGAUUUAAGUUAGGAUUUAAUAAUGGGCUUGAGAAUAGGCUUUAGAUUGGGUUUAGUUUUCAUUAAGUGGUUUGGGCUUGUUUUAAUUUAUUUGUGGGUUGAAUAAUUAGCCAAUAAACCACAACAAUAAUAUUUCUUUUAUGGGCUGUAUUUGCAUAUAUUUUUACAAAGGAUAUUAUUAAAUUUCAUAUUCAAAUUUACAUUAUUAAUUUAAAUUUAGUUUUCAUUAAAUUUUUGAACCCAAAUAUUUUUAUAAGAAAAGCUCUUUUAUAAUCUAUUAGACCAAUAAUUUUUAAAUGGCUAUAUGAUAAUAAAUUCUUAAGAUUUAAAUUACUAUUAUUAUUUUUUUUAAAAUUCAAUUAGGCCCUUAUAUGUUAUUAUUUGAAUUUAUCUGACUAGGUGCGGCGCGACUAGGACGUGAACUUUAAAUUAUUGCAGUUAAUUUUCAAAGCUCAAAAGUUCAAGUUUCAGGUGUGGGAUUUAUUUCAGUACAUGCACGUGGUUAAUAUUUGUCCAUUUUAAUAUUAUGUGUUUACCGUAUGUGUUGUAAAAAUAUUUAUCGCUAGGGGCCAGCAUAAUUGGUCCAGGACUUCACCGUCCUUGGUAUGCCACAAUGCGAUUUCAUGUUACAGGGUUGCAACCAUUAUAUUGUCGCCAGGGGCCCACAUAUAGGGUCCGGGACAUUAAAGUCCUUGGAGUUGCCACAGUGCGUAUGGAAAUUUAUGUUACGUUAUGACAAUAUGUGUUACCAUUUUAUUAACAUGGACAAUUAUUGCAUGUUUCCACACUGAGUGUACCCUGUAUGCUCAUCCCAUAUUUAACAUUUUCAGGUUUUAAAGGCCGGAAGCGCGUGGAAGGUCGAAUGGCGAGUAAAAUGUUUUGAAUUUAGUUAUACUUAAAAACGUUAUGUUUAGUAAAGUAUUUUAACAUAAGAUAUUUAUUUCCCUAUUUUCACAUUAAAUAUUUAUUUAUAGUCAUUAUUUUCCACGUGCGUUUUCAUUUAAAAUUAAAAUGAAUUUGGGUGUCACAAGUCGAAUGGGCGCGUCGAAUCUAUUUAAAGAUAAAUGUUUCUUAAAACAUAUUAUGUUAUUUCAUGUGAUAUCUUUUGGUUAUGUAAACUCUGAAAUUCUAUACUAUUUGAGAUUUGUGUGUGAUUUGUUUAAAUAAAUGUUAUUAUAUUAUUUUAAUGUCAUGACUUGUUUAAUUUAUAUUUAAAUUCAUUUCAAAUAUUUAUUUAAGAAUUUAUAUCUUUACGAAAAUAUAUACAUGG
rnacentral:lncRNA from 1 species